rnacentral:lncRNA from 1 species
CUUCUCAAGUCCAAUAUACAUUCCAGUUUUAAGUCAAAACUUAACAGAAAAUAAACUUGUCCACUUCUGAGAAUGAACAGAUAAUACUGUUAUGAAUCCUCGUUUGUUUCCUUUAUGAAUCCUCAUUUAUUUCACAUCAAAUACUAGCAAUGUCAUUAACUUAUAUUUUUUUAACAGAUCUGAAUUCUGUUUUCCCUUUCUUGGUUGAUCAUUUUACCAAAAAUAAAUAAAUAAAUAAAUAAAUAAGGAAAAAGACAUUGUCCUCCAGCUUCUCAAGGCAUGUUCCAAGAACUCCAUGUCCCAAAGCAUGUCCCAUAAUCCAGUAAAUAAAAAAGCACAGCAUGGACCCUGGAUGUCAACAAUACUUUAUGUAUGAGGUUGAACUUUUGAAUGACAAACAGUUUAGUAGGUGCAUGGAAAUAGUGUAUUGUUUUUUUUACAGUCACACAUAAUCUGACACAAUUUUCAUAGUUUGUUUGUUUUUUGUUUUUUUUUUUAUGUAGAGCUGAACAGUAAUCUGAUUGUCCAGCUUGUUAUAAGUUUUAAGAUUUCAGUUAUUUUCCCAUCUCCCAUUUCAUACUUCUCACUUUUUUAACACAAUAGAAAAAGAAAAAUCUCACAUUGUCAUAAAUUGAGAAUAUAUAAAGGAAACUACAUUAGAUUAGUUUAAAAAACUUUGUUUCAAUAACUGAGUAUUUCACUUGGAUUGUGGAUCUUUUAAAGAUUUUAAUGUUUUAAACUCCUUCCACUGUAGAAUAGAGACGUUAAUUUUUUAAAAUUGUCAAAGCUAAAUGUUUACACAAGUUCUCUUGUAACAGUUGUUGUUAUUGUUUUCCAAGGUAAUAAAUUUGACACAGCAGAUACACUCUUCAUGGUGGAAAUUUAUUCCAACCAAAAUGAAAAAAAAAAAAAAAAAAAAAAAAAAGUAAUUCACUUUAUAUAUUAUGGAAUUUAAUAGUUCUAGGCCUGAUCUUAAGUGGCACAUACAUCUACUUGAUAAUCAUGUAGAUUUGAUUUUAGGCUUGACCAAAAUGAGAAGCUUGCCAAAAGAUGAAGUAACUAAGUGACUUUCCAGCUGACAUCAGAAGGAGUAGCUUAUCUUGUGACAAAUCCCUGAAAGGAAGGUAGAGAACAUUUCUAGUUUUUAUUAGUAAUAGGAACAAAAACUGUUUUUUUGUUGUUGUUGUUGUUCUCAGGAACUAUAAUUUGCAGUUCUUCCUUGUUUAAGAAACAGCUGUUCAGCUGUACCUCUUCUUCCCUGUCAUUCAGUCUUUUGCUAGAGGGUCUUGUAGAUGUCAUAACCACUUCAGAAACAGAGGUAGCAGAGUUCAGUUCAAAGGAGAAACUUCAUGUUUUGAAGCCUGCUUGAAUCUUAUCUAAGCUAUCCAGGUUUCCCAACUCUUGAAUUUGCUGUAGAGAGCUCAGAGAAAUACUCUUUUCUUCUCAGUGUCAGACUGGUCUUUCUCAAACAUUCAUGGUUAUGUGGAUAAGCUUCCAGUAUUUUAAAAAGGAGAAAUAUUGAAUAAAAUAUGAAUAUGUCUCA